AUUGAGUUUCUUUAACAUAAGUCUAUAUCGCAACAAAAAUGAAGUUAAGUAUAACUUUUUUUUUGAUUUUUGCAAUUUUUGCAGCAAUCAUUGGUGCAACUUCAAAGCACGGCAAAGAAGAAAAGAGACUAUUGGGUAUAGCGGAGAAUAUAAGGGGGAAAUUCUGCGAAAUAGUAUGUUCUGGGGGAGGAAAAAAGAAGUGAUCCAGCCCAGAAACGUAGAAUACACCAUGGUUGUAUUCAGUUUAUUGAAAAGUGUAGCGCAUGUA